rnacentral:rRNA from 1 species
AUUACCGCGGCUGCUGGCACGUAGUUAGCCGGGGCUUUCUGGUUAGGUACCGUCAAGGUACCGCCCUAUUUGAACGGUACUUGUUCUUCCCCAACAACAGAGUUUUACGAUCCGAAAACCUUCAUCACUCACGCGGCGUUGCUCCGUCAGACUUUCGUCCAUUGCGGAAGAUUCCCUACUGCUGCCUCCCGUAGG